rnacentral:rRNA from 1 species
AUUGAACGCUGGCGGCAGGCCUAACACAUGCAAGUCGAACGAGUGGCGGACGGGUGAGCAAUGUCUGGGAAAGUGCCUGAUGGAGGGGGUUAACUACCGGAAACGGUAGCUAAUACCGCAUACCAUCAGAUGUGCCCAGAUGGGAUUAGCUUGUUGGAGGGGUAAAGGCUCACCAAGGCGACGAUCCCUAGCUGGUCUGAGAGGAUGACCAGUCACACUGGAACUGAGACACGGUCCAGACUCCUACGGGAGGCAGCAGUGGGGAAUAUUGGACAAUGGGCGCAAGCCUGAUGCAGCCAUGCCGCGUGUGUGAAGAAGGCCUUCGGGUUGUAAAGUACUUUCAGCGGGGAGGCGUUACCCGCAGAAUAAGCACCGGCUAACUCCGUGCCAGCAGCCGCGGUAAUUC